AGAGUAAGUGGUGGAUGCCUUGGCUAGUAGAGGCGAUGAAAGACGUGCCAGGCUGCGAUAAGUCUCGGGGAGCCGUCAAGGGGCUUUGAUCCGGGAAUUUCUGAAUGGGGCAACCCAGUUAAGCGCGAGCUUAACUACCUAAUAUGGAGCGAACGAGGGGAAUUGAAACAUCUUAGUACCCUCAGGAAAAGAAAUCAAAAGAGAUUACGCUAGUAGCGGCGAGCGAACGCGUAAGAGGGCAAACCGUUAGUUUACUAACGGGGUUGUAGGACUGCGAUAUAGACUAAACUUAGCUAAUAGAAUAAUCUGGAAAGAUUAAGCAUAGAGGGUGAUACUCCCGUAUAUGAAAGCUUUGUUUUACUUAGCAGUAUCCUGAGUAGGGCGGAACACGUGAUAUUCUGUCUGAAGCUGGGUCGACCACGAUCCAACCCUAAAUACUACUACUAGACCGAUAGCGCACAAGUACCGUGAGGGAAAGGUGAAAAGAACUGAGGUGAUCAGAGUGAAAUAGAACCUGAAACCAUUUACUUACAAUCAUUCAGAGCCCUAUGAUUUAUCAGGGUGAUGGACUGCCUUUUGCAUAAUGAGCCUGCGAGUUGUGGUGUCUGGCGAGGUUAAGGAAACCCGGAGCCGUAGCGAAAGCGAGUCUUAAUAGGGCGUUUAGUCAGAUGCUGCAGACCCGAAACGAAGUGAUCUAUCCAUGAGCAGGUUGAAACCGGUGUAAGAACCGGUGGAGGACCCAACCGACGGCCGUUGAAAAGGCUCCGGAUGACUUGUGGAUAGGGGUGAAAGGCCAAUCAAACAUCGUGAUAGCUGGUUCUCUCCGAAAUAUAUUUAGGUAUAGCGUCAUGUAGUAACACUGGGGGGUAGAGCACUGAAUGGGCUAGGGCAUACACCAAUGUACCAAACCCUAUCAAACUCCGAAUACCUAGUGUGUAAUCAUGGCAGUCAGGCGGCGAGUGAUAAAAUCCGUCGUCGAGAGGGGAACAACCCAGACUAACAGCUAAGGUCCCUAAAUCUCAUUUAAGUGGAAAACGAUGUGGAGUUACUUAAACAACCAGGAGGUUGGCUUAGAAGCAGCCAUCCUUUAAAGAAAGCGUAAUAGCUCACUGGUCUAGUGAUUAUGCGCGGAAAAUAUAACGGGGCUAAAAUAAGUACCGAAGUCGUAGAUUUGAAUUUUAUUCAAGUGGUAGGAGAGCGUCCUAUUCAGCGUUGAAGGUGUACCGGUAAGGAGCACUGGAGCGGAUAGGAGUGAGCAUGCAGGCAUGAGUAGCGUUAAAAUACGUGAGAAUCGUAUUCGCCGAAAACCCAAGGUUUCCUACGCGAUGCUCGUCAUCGUAGGGUUAGUCGGGUCCUAAGCAAAGUCCGAAAGGGGUAUGCGAUGGAAAAUCGGUUAAUAUUCCGAUACCAAUAUUAGUGUGCGAUGAAAGGACGCUUAAAGUUAGUGGAGCUAGCUGAUGGAAGUGCUAGUCUAAGUGUGUAGGUUGAGUUAUAGGCAAAUCCGUAACUCUUUAUCCGAGACAUUAAAGGUCUUUGACGCUCUUCGGAGUAGAUGAGAAAUCCAUGAUACUAUCGAGCCAAGAAAAGUUUCUAAGUUUAGCUGAUAUUGCCCGUACCGUAAACCGACACAGGUGGGUGGGAUGAGUAUUCUAAGGCGCGUGGAAGAACUCUCUUCAAGGAACUCUGCAAAAUAGCACCGUAUCUUCGGUAUAAGGUGUGCCUAACUUUGUGAAGGAUUUACUCCGUAAGCAUUGAAGGUUACAACAAAGAGUCCCUCCCGACUGUUUACCAAAAACACAGCACUCUGCUAACUCGUAAGAGGAUGUAUAGGGUGUGACGCCUGCCCGGUGCUCGAAGGUUAAUUGAUGACGUUAGCUCUGCAAAGCGUUUGAUCGAAGCCCGAGUAAACGGCGGCCGUAACUAUAACGGUCCUAAGGUAGCGAAAUUCCUUGUCGAUUAAAUAUCGACCUGCAUGAAUGGCGUAACGAGAUGGGAGCUGUCUCGAAGAGGGAUCCAGUGAAAUUGUAGUGGAGGUGAAAAUUCCUCCUACCCGCGGCAAGACGGAAAGACCCCGUGGACCUUUACUACAGCUUGACACUGCUAUUGGGAUAAAAAUGUGCAGGAUAGGUGGGAGGCUUUGAUCCAUAGACGCCAGUUUAUGGUGAGCCAUUGUUGAGAUACCACUCUUUUUUAUUCUGAUAGCUAACUAGCUUGAGUUAUCCUCAAGUAGGACAAUGUCUGGUGGGUAGUUUGACUGGGGCGGUCGCCUCCCAAAAUGUAACGGAGGCUUACAAAGGUUGGCUCAGAACGGUUGGAAAUCGUUCGCAGAGUAUAAAGGCAAAAGCCAGCUUAACUGCGAGACAUACACGUCAAGCAGGGACGAAAGUCGGUCUUAGUGAUCCGGUGGUUCUGUGUGGAAGGGCCAUCGCUCAAAGGAUAAAAGGUACCCCGGGGAUAACAGGCUGAUCUCCCCCAAGAGCUCACAUCGACGGGGAGGUUUGGCACCUCGAUGUCGGCUCAUCGCAUCCUGGGGCUGGAGCAGGUCCCAAGGGUUGGGCUGUUCGCCCAUUAAAGCGGUACGCGAGCUGGGUUCAGAACGUCGUGAGACAGUUCGGUCCCUAUCUGCCGUGGGCGCAAGAAGAUUGAGGAGAGUUGACCCUAGUACGAGAGGACCGGGUUGAACCGACCACUGGUGUACCAGUUAUCCUGCCAAGGGUAGCGCUGGGUAGCUAUGUCGGGAUGUGAUAACCGCUGAAAGCAUCUAAGCAGGAAGCCAACUCCAAGAUGAAUCUUCUUUUAAGAGCUCUUAUAGACUAUAAGUUUGAUAGGCUGGGUGUGUAAUGGAUGAAAGUCCUUUAGCUGACCAGUACUAAUAGCUCGUCUGCUUAUCUU
rnacentral:rRNA from 1 species